AUUGAACGCUGGCGGCAUGCUUUACACAUGCAAGUCGAACGGUAACAGGCCGCAAGGUGCUGACGAGUGGCGAACGGGUGAGUAAUGCAUCGGAACGUGCCCAGUCGUGGGGGAUAACUACUCGAAAGAGUAGCUAAUACCGCAUACGAUCUAUGGAUGAAAGCGGGGGACCGUAAGGCCUCGCGCGAUUGGAGCGGCCGAUGUCAGAUUAGGUAGUUGGUGGGGUAAAGGCUCACCAAGCCAACGAUCUGUAGCUGGUCUGAGAGGACGACCAGCCACACUGGGACUGAGACACGGCCCAGACUCCGACGGGAGGCAGCAGUGGGGAAUUUUGGACAAUGGGGGCAAGCCUGAUCCAGCAAUGCCGCGUGCAGGAAGAAGGCCUUCGGGUUGUAAACUGCUUUUGUACGGAACGAAACGGCUCUGGUUAAUACCCGGGGCUAAUGACGGUACCGUAAGAAUAAGCACCGGCUAACUACGUG
rnacentral:rRNA from 1 species